rnacentral:lncRNA from 1 species
GUACUAAGAUAAAAAAGACAAUUUGAUUAAUUCUAAGCAUAUAUUUAGAAAUUGAUCGAGUUUGAAUAUGGUUGUGAUUUGACUCUAGUUUUAUAUGCUAGAGAAUUGGGUUGAAAUAGUUUGUUUCUAAGGACUUGGUAUAGAGAAGAGGUUGGAUUAGGUUGUGCAUGACUUGGGUUUGAGGUUAGGUUUGGACUUUGAUUUGGUUAUUAUGGU